rnacentral:rRNA from 1 species
GACGAACGCUGGCGGCGUGCUUAACACAUGCAAGUCGAACGGAAAGGCCCUGCUUUUGUGGCGUGCUCGAGUGGCGAACGGGUGAGUAACACGCGUGUAACCUGCCCUUGACUUUGGGAUAACUUCAGGAAACUGGGGCUAAUACCGGAUAGGAGCUCCUGCUGCAUGGUGGGGGUUGGUAAGUUUCGGCGGUUGGGGAUGGACUCGCGGCUUAUCAGCUUGUUGGUGGGGUAGUGGCUUACCAAGGCUUUGACGGGUAGCCGGCCUGAGAGGGUGACCGGCCACAUUGGGACUGAGAUACGGCCCAGACUCCUACGGGAGGCAGCAGUGGGGAAUAUUGCACAAUGGGGGGAAGCCUGAUGCAACAACGCCGCGUGCGGGAUGACGGCCUUCGGGUUGUAAACCGCUUUCGCCUGUGACGAAGCGUGAGUGACGGUAAUGGGUAAAGAAGCACCGGCUAACUACGUG